AUUGAACGCUGGCGGCAGGCCUAACACAUGCAAGUCGAACGAGUGGCGGACGGGUGAGGACUGUCUGGGAAACUGCCCGAUGGAGGGGGAUAACUACUGGAAACGGUAGCUAAUACCGCAUACCAUUGGAUGUGCCUAGAGGGGAUUAGCUAGUAGGUGGGGUAACGGCUAACCUAGGCAACGAUCCCUAGCUGGUCUGAGAGGAUGAACAGUCACACUGGAACUGAGACACGGUCCAGACUCGUACGGGAGGCAGAAGUGGGGAAUAUUGCACAAUGGGCGAAAGCCUGAUUCAGCCAUGCCGCGUGUAUGAAGAAGGCCUUCGGGUUGUAAAGUACUUUAAGCGAGGAGGCGUUACUCACAGAAGAAGCACCGGCUAACUCCGUGCCAGCAGCCGCGGUAAUUC
rnacentral:rRNA from 1 species